rnacentral:rRNA from 1 species
AGAGUUUGAUCAUGGCUCAGAACGAACGCUGGCGGCGUGGAUAAGACAUGCAAGUCGAGCGAGAUUUUUUCCUGUAGCAAUACAGGGAAAAGUCUAGCGGCGAACGGGUGCUUAACACGUGGGCAAUCUGUCUUAAAGUGGGGGAUAGCUCGGCGAAAGCCGAAUUAAUACCGCAUGUGAUUAGAGAGGACAUCCUUUCGAAAUUAAAGUCGGGGCAACCUGACGCUUUUUGAGGAGCCCGCGGCCUAUCAGCUAGUUGGUGAGGUAACGGCUCACCAAGGCUUUGACGGGUAGCUGGUCUGAGAGGACGACCAGCCACACUGAGACUGAGACACGGCCCAGACACCUACGGGUGGCAGCAGUCGAGAAUUUUUCUCAAUGGGGGAAACCCUGAAGGAGCGACGCCGCGUGGAGGAUGAAGGUCUUCGGAUUGUAAACUCCUGUCAUUGGGGAACAAUGCGUGACGGUUAACUGCCGUCGCGUUGAUAGUACCCGAAGAGGAAGAGACGGCUAACUCUGUGCCAGCAGCCGCGGUAAUACAGAGGUCUCAAGCGUUGUUCGGAUUCAUUGGGCGUAAAGGGUGCGUAGGCGGCGCGGUAAGUCGGGUGUGAAAUCUCGGAGCUUAACUCCGAAACUGCAUUCGAUACUGCCGUGCUCGAGGACUGGAGAGGAGACUGGAAUUUACGGUGUAGCGGUGAAAUGCGUAGAUAUCGUAAGGAAGACCAGUGGCGAAGGCGGGUCUCUGGACAGUUCCUGACGCUGAGGCACGAAGGUCAGGGGAGCAAACGGGAUUAGAUACCCCAGUAGUCC